AACGAACGCUGGCGGCGCGCCUAAUACAUGCAAGUCGAGCGAGAAGGUGUAGCAAUACACUUGUAAAGCGGCGAACGGGUGAGGAAUACAUGGGUAAUCUACCAUCGAGUGGGGAAUAACCAGCCGAAAGGUUGGCUAAUACCGCGUACGCCUCCGGAUCUUCGGGUUCGGAGGGAAAGCCACACUGUGAGUGCGGCGCUCUUUGAUGAGCUCAUGUCCUAUCAGCUUGUUGGUAGGGUAACGGCCUACCAAGGCUUUGACGGGUAGCUGGUCUGAGAGGACGAUCAGCCACACUGGCACUGCGACACGGGCCAGACUCCUACGGGAGGCAGCAGUAAGGAAUAUUGCGCAAUGGGCGAAAGCCUGACGCAGCGACGCCGCGUGGGGGAUGAAGGUCUUCGGAUUGUAAACCCCUUUCGGGAGGGAAGAUGGAGCGAGCAAUCGUUCGGACGGUACCUCCAGAAGCAGCCACGGCCAACUUCGUGCCAGCAGCCGACGG
rnacentral:rRNA from 1 species